ACGGAGGUGGCAAGCGUUGUUCGGAAUUACUGGGCGUAAAGGGCGCGUAGGCGGUUUGGCAAGUCAGAUGUGAAAGCCCCGGGCUUAACCCGGGAAUUGCAUCUGAAACUGCUUAACUUGAGUUCUGGAUGGGGUAGUGGAAUUCCCAGUGUAGCGGUGAAAUGCGUAGAUAUUGGGAGGAACACCUGCGGCGAAGGCGGCUACCUGGACAGUGACUGACGCUGAGGCGCGAAAGCCAGGGGAGCGAACGGGAUUAGAUACCCCGGUAGUCCUGGCCGUAAACGAUGGGCACUUGGUGUUGGGGGUAUUGAGUCCCUCGGUGCCGGAGUUAACACGUUAAGUGCCCCGCCUGGGGAGUACGGUCGCAAGACUG
rnacentral:rRNA from 1 species